AUGGUGGCCGUGGAUCUGGAGAGAUGUGGUCUCUAGUAGCCAGCUUCAAAGGGCCUGUGUUAAGGGGGUUGGGGGUGACAGUUAAAGGCCCCAAAAUGCCUUAUUUUAUGGUGUGUCUGUGUCUGGGGGAUGGUAGUGUAUUCAGAAAUUCCUGAGGGAACAGCUAUUUGAGAUGAAGCUGUGGACCUGGAAGGAACUGCAGGUAACCUGGGGGAGGCAGGCUGGCAGAGAAGCCUGACUGAGGGGGAAGGGGAGCUCCUUCCCUUCCCCUGUAGCCCCAGGAUGAGGCAGCAGGCCCACCACCCCCAAACAUCCUAGACCCCAUACGGUUCAGAGGAAAAGAACAUGGGCUUCCGGGAGGGAGCUGGGCCAUCUGGAGCCCCUCCCCCAAUUCCUCAUUGACUCUGGGCCGCUGCCUGCCUGAGAGGCACAGCAACAGGGUCCAGCAGGGGCGGAAGGGUACCGUCUGUCUGCCCCCCCCCCAAGUUGGCACCACCAGCAAGCAGCGGGUGUCGAGCCUCCCACCCCCCAGGCUGCCUGGCGCUGACUCAGCACCGUCUCCCCCCACCCCCAACCCCGGAACAAACAAUUCUUCACUGUGACAGCUGACACACAUCACUCACCAGGGUUGCCUAGUGACUAGUGGGACCUGGGGUUCUGGCUCAGAAUGCUUUACUUUGAACAGCUUUGAAGACCACACUCUCUCUCCCGGCCUUCACAUCUACAAGCCCAUUUUACCAAUAAGGAAACAGCUCCAGCCUGAUAAGAUGACCAAGCUAAAAGGGUGAAAAGCACAGUGCCUCCCAGUGGAAGGGGCUCCAGAAGGGUUUGCAGAGAGAACAAAGGACCCAAGUUCUGCCCCCACAGGAAUGUCCAAGGCCCUGGGCCUGGGACAAGAAGCUCGUAAUGGAUUCGAAGUGAUGGAGGAAGAGAAAAACAGAGCAGAGGACAAGAAACCCAACUGGGAGACCUAGAUGAAGACUGGAGCAACAAAGUGAGGGACGGGGCUGGAGAUAGACCCAAAGCAGGCCUGAAACCAGAGCAGUUGCUGGAUAAAGACUCACCAGGGGAAGUUGGAUGGGGCUAUACACAGAAAAACCAGGGCCCAGAAGCUGAGUCUCGGCUGCCUAGAACCAGAUGCCCUCCGUUCUUACCUGGACUGGUUCUUCCACACUCUUGUUAAGGAAGUUAAGAGAGCUGGCCCUCUUCAUCCUGAGGAAAAGGAGGGCCAUGCCUUCUGCCCAGCCUCAGAGUACCAGGUUGUUCUUGGUCUUCGCUACAUUGGGGUCAUCAGGACCAAGGCGUGUGGCAUAGAUCUCCAAGGCUCUCCGGUAGUAGUAUUCCACCUCCUCAGCUUUGCCCUGGUUCUGGC